rnacentral:tRNA from 1 species
CGAACUGGGCUUGUGGUUUAGUGGUAUAAUACUCCCUUAGCAUGGGAGUGGUCCGGGGUUCGAUUCCCGCGAGUCCAU